CCGGAGCUCGCCUCAGCCGCCCCGAGCCUCCAUUUCCACCACCGCCCCCCCCCACACUCCCUGCUCCUCCUCGGGAGGGGGUGGGAGGGACGGGUCCGCCCAGAACCCCUCCUACUCCGGGAGGGGGGGGAGGUCUGCCGCCUCCCCCGGGGGUCUCCGCGGCUCCGGGUCCCCCUCCCCCACAGUCACCCCCGGCGCCUCCGCGUUUCCCUUUAAAAAAAAAAAAAAAACGGAGUCGCCGGAGCCGCCGCCGCCGCCGCCGCCGGCCGGAGCGCGCAUGCGCCGAGAGGGCCGCGGGCGGGAGCGGACCGGGAGCCGGGAGGAGGGAGGCGGGUAGCGCUAUUGUGAAAGGGGCCGCGGCCGCCGCGAGGGGGAGGGGACCGGGGCGCGGGGGCCCACGAGGGGAGGCCGGCACCAGGGCGAGGACGCCGGCGCGGGCCAAGGGAUCCAGCACCAGAAAUGGAGGGACCUCUGGUUCCCGGAGCAGCGUAGGGGGUGAUGUCUGCUGCCCGGGGAGUUUUUAACCACAACCUUCUUGGGGUGAAGGACUGCCAAGAGCCAUGUCCCCAGCCCUGUUGAGCGACGGCUAGCAUCUUCUGGGAGAAGGCGCAGGAAGUCCAGGAGGAGGAGAUGUAUGCUUGCAUUACACUGAGCGUUCUCUGGGGCCUUCUCUUUUGAGCGCUUCUUCCCGUUCUCCGGGUUCAUAGUGUCUCGUGUGUGUGUGCCAGUCACUUUCCCAGCAACUUGGGCCACCGAGUCCUCACGUUUCCCUAUGGGAAAAUUUGUCAACAGCUGUAAAUGAAUUGGUUGCUUUUCUGUCUGAAGUGCAUUUCUUAAAAGAAAAUUAUGGAGA